AAGGUUGAAAAAUAAACUUCGAUAAAAAAAACUCAAAAUCAACUCCAAAUUUAAAGUUGAAAAUUCAAAUUUUAGCUAAUAAGCAUAAGCAUAAGUGAAAAGACGAGGCUGUAAAAGUGAACCAUCCCUUUGUUUCAUCAAAAUUAAUUUUGACAUGUCCUAAUCAUUCUGACGUAGCAAAGUAGAGAGAAGCAAAAAAAUCUCUGAUCUUACAUAUCUGGUAGACUGAUACUACUGAUGUUCACAACAACAUGAAGUGAAAUAGUGACUGGUGAGCAUGCCCUCAGCUAUUUCGAAUAAAUAUAAGCUAAAUUUAUAAUUGAAGUCACAUACUCACAUGGCUGGAUUUCCUUUUCCUAGAUCAAAAACUGAAAUUUCUAAUCUUCAUAAAACAGAACUGAAACUUCCAACAGGGGAGCAGAGCAGGCCGCCUGAAAUACUGAAAUAGAACUUUAUUCAGACUGCAGAGCUUUUCAUAUUUGGUAUGAUUGUCAUUGUACACAUUAAAAAUCUCAUUGAACAGCGCAUUUAAUAAACAUUACAAGAAUAUAAAUUAAGUCUGGAAAUACAAAAGACUCGACCAAAUUAUCAUCUAUGUCCAUUAAGUUGGCAACUAAAGCACACUUCUGCUUUCCUCUGUAAUGGAUAUCUGUUAUAACUGAUACUCAAUGAAUCUGGCCAAACGAAGAAUUGUUCUUUCCCUCUUCAAUUAUCAACAGCACCCUUUAAAAUACAUCAAUGGUCCUUCCUUACUGUUCAUUUUUCCAAAGAGAAAAUUGCACUGCGAUCAGCACAAAUGCUCUUCUGUAUCAAUAUCUCCUGUUAAAUUGUCAUAAGUUAUAACAGCACCAUGGACCCUAAAUAUUUCACUGCUUCUGUAUGCAGUAGUUUUUUCUCAAGAAAUGGCAGCACUGUCUGUCUUUGCUUCAUCAAUACUCUCAAAGGUCACUACAUUUGCUGUUGAAUAUGCUCUCGACGACAUCAAACUUGCUUGCACAGUUAGGAGUGAGAUAGAAAAGCUGAGAAACUCAUUGAAGGCUAUUUGCGCUGUUCUUAAAGAUGCUGAAAGGAAGCAAUCUACAUCUAGUUCACUUAAACAUUGGCUGGAAAACCUCAAAGACAUUGUCUACGACAUAGAUGAUGUUCUCGAUGACGUUGGGACACGAGCAUUGCAGCAGAAAGUUGGAAAAGGUGAAAUCCGUACUUAUUUUGCUCAACUAUUCAUUUUUCCUUUUGAACUGGGAAGAAAGAUAAGAAGGGUUCGUGAAAGGCUAAAUGAAAUAUCUGCACUUAAAAGAAAUUUUGAUUUGAAAGAAGAACCAAUAGACACACCUUCAGAUCGAAUUGUACAGAGAGAAACAUACUCAAUUGUAGAUGAGCGAAAGAUUGUUGGGAGAGAUAAAGCUAAAAAUGAUAUUGUGAAGGUGAUUUCAGAAGCUGCUGAAUCUAAUUCUGAUACACUGUCAGUGCUUCCACUAAUUGGAAUGGGAGGUGUAGGCAAGACUGCCCUAGCAAAACUGGUAUUUAAUGACAAACGAACCAAAGAAAAGUUUGAUAAGAUGCUAUGGGCAUGUGUAGCUAAUGUGUCUGAUCUUAAACAUAUAGUAGAUAUUAUCAUACAAUCAGAUAGCGGUGAAAGCAACAAGCAAUUAACCCUAGAAGCACUACAAAAGAAACUUCAUGAGCUUUCAGGAGAUAAGAGAUACUUGCUAGUGUUAGACGACAUAUCACAUGAUAACAUUAAUGAUUGGGAAGAAUUGAUGAACCUGCUACCGAGUGGUAGAAGUGGAAGCAUGAUUUUAAUCACCACGCGUCUCUCAAAAAUUGCAUCAGUAUUGAAGACCAUAGAGCCAUAUGAAGUGCCAAAACUUCCACAUGAAGAAUGCAUGAAAGUAUUUGCUCGAUAUGCAUUCAAAGGACAGAAGGCAAAGGAUACUGAGUUACUAAAAAUUGGAGAAUCCAUUGUACAGAAAUGUGAUGGUCUUCCUUUAGCAGUUAGGACUCUGGGAUCCCUAUUGUCUAUGGAAGAUAUCUCUAAGUGGCAAGAAGUUAAGGAAACAAAUAUCCCGAACACGGAUAUCUUAUCAGUUUUAAAACUGAGUUAUGAUGCACUUCCAUCUGAUUUAAGAGCAUGUUUUGCCAGCUUAUCCACUUUCCCAAAGGACUAUGAGAUUUUCAGAGAACUUUUAAUAAUGUAUUGGAUGGCAAUGGGUCUGUUGAAUACAGCUAGUGGAAGUAAGGAGGCAAUAAGAAUGGGAGAGAGAUAUUUUAGUGAGCUUGCAGGGAGAUCUCUUUUCCAAGACUAUGUUUUUAGUCAUGAUGGCACCAUCUCACAUUGUAAAAUGCAUAGCUUUGUUCAUGACCUAGCAAUAUCUGUAUCUCCCAAUGAGCAUGCAACAAUUAGCUGUGAAAACUUUAGUGCCUCCAAAAGAGUUAAGCAUCUUGUGUGGGACCAGAAGGAGUUCUCAAAGGACCUAAAAUUUCCAAAACAACUGAGAAGGGCAAGGAAGGCAAGGACAUUUGCGAGUAGGCACAACUAUGGUACUGUGAGCAAAUCCUUUCUUGAAGAUCUCUUGGCAACCUUUACACGCCUACGAAUCUUGGUUUUCUCUGAAGUUGAGUUUGAGGAGUUACCAAGUUCAAUUGGAAAUUUGAAGCACCUAAGAUACCUAGAUCUGCAAUGGAAUAUGAAGAUCAAAUACCUUCCCAAUUCUCUGUGUAAGCUGGUGAAUUUGCAAACACUUCAACUUGCUUGGUGCAAAGAACUGGAGGAGCUGCCAAGAGAUGUUAAAAGACUUGUCAGCUUGAGGUACUUAAUCCUCACAUCUAAGCAACAAUAUCUUCCUAAUGAUGCCCUCAUGGGUUGGACUUCCAUGGUAUUUCUACAGAUUAGUGCCUGCCCAAUGUUAACAUCACUGACAGAAGGAUUUGGCAGCCUCAGUGCACUUAGAGAGCUAUUUGUCUUCAAUUGUCCAAAUUUGCCCUCUCUCCCCUCUAGCAUGAACCGGUUAGUCACCCUUCAGAAAUUGGUGAUUCAUAACUGUGAUGAGUUAAAUUUGAUGGAACCAAAGGAAGCAAUGGGUGGAAUGAAGAGUCUCAAAUCAAUUGAACUUGUGGGGCUUCCAAAGUUUGAGACCUUUCCAGAUAGCUUUGCAUCAGCUGCUUCCACUCUUGAAUACCUGAAGGUUAGUGACUGCAAAGAAUUCAAGAAGUUGCCAGAUUUCAUCCAGAGAUUUUCUUCUCUGAAGAAAAUUGAGAUCCCUGAAAGGCGUCAAUAUUCCAGUAAAACCUGGGCAUAGAAGUAAGUACAUCUACCUUAGAGUGGUCCAUACUUCCAUUAUCAAUCCAUAAUCCAGUUACUUGUCUUUAAUUGUUUUUUUACUACACAUUUUAUUAGUGAUAAUAUUCAAAACAUUUGCACACUUGUUCACUUCACCCAUAUGUUUGCAUGCAGAUGAUAUACGCUUAUAAAUUAACCACCAUGGUGGUUGAAGUUGUGCUACACUGUUGCUUCAAAAGCGCAAGCUCAGUUCUUGCGAAAAAUAUCAAACUAAGCAAGGGGAAUUCCGUCAUUCCAUGGAACUCUGCAAUUCCGUGUGCACUGUUGCUUAUUAUUACUUGUUCUAAAAAAUAGGUGGCUGUGCGUGUUGCGUGCAAUACACCAAUGUAUCCCUAUAAGCAUUUUAUAGGUUGCUGCACAAUAAUUGUGUCAAUAAAAAAAACAUGCUUUAGCUAUAAGCGUUUGAAUUAUUAAUGGUAACUGGUCAAAUGUAAUAUGUACAUUACUCCUAAUAAAAUGAGUGAAUAUAAAAGCAAAUAUGAUUGUUCAGCAAUAAAGGCCGGAGACCUUGGUCUUGUUCAAAUGUGCUUGCAUCCUUGCAAAAAGUGUGAUCUUUUUCUUUCUUUUUUCUUUUUUUUUUUUUUUUUUUUGCAGAGUCCCUUUCCUGCUUGGAAGAACCCUGAUUGUAAUUUUAGUUGCUUGACAACGAGCAGGAUGAUCUGGCUGAGAUCACUUCAAAGUAAUCUCAGUGUUUCAUUGUUAGCACAAACUAUGCAGUAGCUUGCAAUUUCGUUUGUUUGAUAUGAAUUUCUUCAGUGCUAUGCAUUUAAUUGCAUACAUUUAGAUAGAUAUUAUGGCUUCUUUCCACCUCGCUCGGCACGGGCGGGGAAAACAAACAAAAUGAGCCUACCAAGGGAGCUUAGUACUGUACCCACUUAAACCGAUAAAACGCUCAUCUGAUACUAAUACUGAUAAUGAUAAUGAGGUCAUAUAUCAAUACAACACAAGAAAUGAUAUUUUCUACCACUAAUUCUCUUCCUAAUGCCACUGAGCCAGCGAUGGCAUGGCACAUCGGCCGCUCAUGGUUUGAUCCAGAAAUAAAAAUCGGAUCGAGUCACUAUACAGAGUAUCUAUUUUGGGGAUCAAUUUUCUCGCUCUUUUGCGAGAAAUUCGUAGACAGAAAUGAAUCUAGUAGCAUUUUAUUAUCUGAUUUGCACAGAUUGGAUUCAGAAUCCACUUCCUCUGCGGUUGGUCUGGAGGGAAGGUGAGAGAGGGGGAGAUGAGGAGUCACAGGCUAACCUUCGCCGCCAUCGUCGCUCGCCGUUGGCUGAAGGGGGACAAGCGGACUGGAUGGCUCCCGGUGAACGACGGCUAGAGCCGCCGCCGCCCGCAGCAUCCAUCUCCGCCGGCGGCCGCCGCCGGCGACCGGGUAGCGGCUAGCCGGCGAGAGAGCGGAGAAAGACGAGGAGCAAAUCCGCGAGGUAGAGAGAAAGGAAACAGGAGACUGACAUAUGGGACCAUGUAGCAAUGGUCAUCGAGCUCACAUAGUAAACACUACUUCACGAUAGAUUUUCCUGGAAGCCGCCCCCUUUUGUUUCCAUGCGG
rnacentral:lncRNA from 1 species